rnacentral:rRNA from 1 species
UGAACGCUGGCGGUAUGCUUAACACAUGCAAGUCGAACGGAAACGAUACUAGCUUGCUAGUAGGCGUCGAGUGGCGGACGGGUGAGUAACGCGUAGGAAUCUGCCUGAUAGUGGGGGAUAGCCCGAAGAAAUUCGGAUUAAUACCGCAUAAUCUAUUCGUAGUAAAGUGGGGGACUUUCGAGCCUCACGCUAUCAGAUGAGCCUGCGUAAGAUUAGCUUGUUGGUAGGGUAAAAGCCUACCAAGGCGACGAUCUUUAGCUGGUCUGAGAGGAUGAUCAGCCACAUCGGGACUGAGACACGGCCCGAACUCCUACGGGAGGCAGCAGUGGGGAAUAUUGGACAAUGGGGGCAACCCUGAUCCAGCAAUACCGCGUGUGUGAAGAAGGCCUGAGGGUUGUAAAGCACUUUCAAUUGUGAAGAAAAGUUAGCGGUUAAUAACCGUUAGCCUUGACGUUAACUUUAGAAGAAGCACCGGCUAACUCCGUGCCAGCAGCCGCGGUAAUACGGAGGGUGCAAGCGUUAAUCGGAAUUACUGGGCGUAAAGCGUGCGUAGGCGGUUUAUUAAGUCAGAUGUGAAAGCCCCGGGCUUUAACCUGGGAACUGCAUUUGAAACUGGUCAACUAGAGUAUGGUAGAGGAAAGUGGAAUUUCUGGUGUAGCGGUGAAAUGCGUAGAUAUCAGAAGGAACAUCAAUGGCGAAGGCAGCUUUCUGGACCAAUACUGACGCUGAGGUACGAAAGCGUGGGUAGCAAACAGGAUUAGAUACCCUGGUAGUCCACGCCGUAAACGAUGAUAACUAGCCGUUGGGGGGAUUUACCCUUUAGUGGCGAAGCUAACGCGUUAAGUUAUCCGCCUGGGGAGUACGGCCGCAAGGUUAAAACUCAAAGGAAUUGACGGGGACCCGCACAAGCGGUGGAGCAUGUGGUUUAAUUCGAUGCAACGCGAAGAACCUUACCUGGUCUUGACAUCCUGCGAACUUUCUAGAAAUAGAUUGGUGCCUUCGGGAACGCAGUGACAGGUGCUGCAUGGCUGUCGUCAGCUCGUGUCGUGAGAUGUUGGGUUAAGUCCCGUAACGAGCGCAACCCCUAUCCUUAUUUGCCAGCACAUCAUGGUGGGAACUAUAAGGAGACUGCCGGUGAUAAACCGGAGGAAGGCGGGGACGACGUCAAGUCAUCAUGGCCCUUACGACCAGGGCUACACACGUGCUACAAUGGGAAGGACAAAGAGCCGCGAAGCCGCGAGGUGUAGCUAAUCUCAUAAACCUUUUCGUAGUCCGGAUUGGAGUCUGCAACUCGACUCCAUGAAGUCGGAAUCGCUAGUAAUCGUAGAUCAGAAUGCUACGGUGAAUACGUUCCCGGGUCUUGUACACACC